AAUCAACGCUGGCGGCGUGCCUAACACAUGCAAGUCGAACGAGAAAGUGGAGCAAUCCAUGAGUAAAGUGGCGUACGGGUGAGUAACACGUGACUAACCUACCCUUGAGUGGGGGAUAACUUCGGGAAACCGAGGCUAAUACCGCAUAAUACCUUCGGGUCAAAGGAGCAAUUCGCUUAAGGAGGGGGUCGCGGCUGAUUAGCUAGUUGGUAGGGUAAUGGCCUACCAAGGCAAUGAUCAGUAUCCGGCCUGAGAGGGCGCACGGACACACUGGAACUGAAACACGGUCCAGACUCCUACGGGAGGCAGCAGUGGGGAAUUUUGCACAAUGGGCGAAAGCCUGAUGCAGCGACGCCGCGUGGGGGAUGAAGCUUUUCGGAGUGUAAACCCCUUUCGACCCGGACGAAUGCCUCGCAAGAGGACUGACGGUACGGGUAUAAGAAGCCCCGGCUAACUACGUGCCAGCAGCCGCGGUAAGACGUAGGGGGCCAGCGUUGCUCGGAAUUACUGGGUGUAAAGGGUUCGUAGGCGGUGUGGCAAGUCGGGAGUGAAAUCUCUGGGCUCAACUCAGAGACUGCUUCCGAAACUGCUG
rnacentral:rRNA from 1 species